AGUGACCGCCACCGUUGCCCGGGGAUGGGUCCCUGAGACUUUGCGAAGUAGGAGCCCUGUGUGAUCGUGCGUCAGAGUCGGGGCUGAGACCAGUCCUGGCCAGGGCAGUUACCAGGACGGUCUCCGGAGGCCGGGAUUCGCGGAGGGUCCACCAGCAGGAAGAAACGCCAGAAGGAAGAAACCUCAGACAGAUCGCCGGGGAGGCAGCGCGGGAUCCCAGCCUCAGGCGUGCGCGGACGGUGUGCGGGAAGGGAGUGUAUCCUGGUGUAUGACAGCAUAUAGUAGAGACCAGUGUCAAUUAGGGCCUGUGAACUGAGACAGGGUGACUGGCUAAGUCCACAACCCAUUAGAAACCCAGAAAUAAUCAAAUCAUGGAGAGAUUAGUCCAGGGACAAUAAAUAUGGAUUAGGGAAGAAUGUGUUAACUCAGCAGGCCAGGGUUUCUUCAACCCUGCACAUUCAAAGUUCUAGAUCCUUGAGGAAUCACCAUACUGUCUUCCACAAUGGUUGAACUAAUUUACACUCCCACCAAUAGUGUAAGAGUGUUCUCUUACUACACUUCCAAUUUGGCUGGACUUUGAGCUUUGUCUGUGGUCCCCCGCUUUUUACAAUCCCAAGAAACAUGGCCUCAUCCUUAUCAGGACCAGAGAAUGCUCUCAAGGCUCCUCCUUGAGUUAUUGGGAAUAAGUAAUGCUUCUCAAUAAAGCUUCGUGUCAACAAAUCUGAACAUAUAACAUCUCAGCUAGAGCAAGUUACUAAAAAUAGGCUCAAUUUGUACCUUGCAGUCAUGCCUUCAUAACCACUUUUCAAUUAAUCCUGCUUAAUUCAGAGAAUGUAUAAAUAUGUAAUUUUGCAUCACUUUUAAGGCAGCCAUUUUAUUUUGAAAUGCAACUAACAUUAUAUGCAUAAAUUCAAUAAAUAUAAAGCUGUUUUCAAAAA
ensembl:lncRNA SNHG27 small nucleolar RNA host gene 27